rnacentral:lncRNA from 1 species
CUCAUCAGACUCUUGCCAAAUUCCAUUGCACAUCUGCUCUACAAUCAAAGACACCUUGGAUCUAAUUCUCCUUCUAAUAUUACUACUCAUAUCAGUACUGUUCUCAACUGACCUAUUAGGAGACUCAGACAAUUACACUCCAGCAAAUCUCCUCAACACACCACCCGACAUUAAACCAGAAUGGUGCCUUUCAUUUGCCUAUGCAAUUCUACAUUAAACCAGAAGGGUGUCUUCUAUUUGCCUAUGCAAUUCCACAUUAAACCACAGUAGUGUAUUUCAUUUGCCAAUGCAAUUCCACAUGAAACCAGAAUGGCAACUUUCAUUUGCCUAUGUAAUUCCACAUUAAACCAGAAUGGUACUUUUCAUUUGCCUAUGCAAUUCUACACUCCAUUCCUAAUGAACUAGGAGGCAUGCUGGCCCUUGUCUUCUCCAUUCUUAUCCUAGCUGUUGUUCCAACACUUCACAUAUCUAAACAACAAGGCAUAAUAUUCUGACCAUUAAGUCAAUGUCUGUUCUGAAUUCUAGUAGCAGACCUUCUUACACUUACAUGAAUCGGGGGCCAACCUGUUGAACACCUCUUUAUUAUUAUGAGCCAAGCAGCAUCCAUUGUGUACUUUUCCCUUAUCCUUCUUUUUAUACCAAUUACUAGCCUAAUCGAAAACGAGCUACU